UGAGUUUGAUCAUGGCUCAGAACGUACGCUGGCGGCACGCCUAACACAUGCAAGUCGAACGAAGUAGCAAUACUUAGUGGCAGACGGGUGAGUAACAUGUAGGUAUCUACCCUUUGGCCUGGAAUAACACGAGGAAACUUGUGCUAAUACUGGAUAAGUCUUUACGGAGAAAGCUUUAUGCACCAAUGGAUGAGCCUGCACUUGAUUAGUUUGUUGGUAGGGUAAUGGCCUACCAAGACUGUGAUCAAUAGCUGAUUUGAGAGGAUGAUCAGCCACAUUGGGACUGAGACACGGCCCAAACUCCUACGGGAGGCAGCAGUGGGGAAUCUUGCACAAUGGAGGAAACUCUGAUGCAGCGAUGCCGCGUGAGUGAAGAAGGCCCUUGGGUUGUAAAGCUCUUUCGUCGGGGAAGAAAAUGACUGUACCCGAAUAAGAAGGUCCGGCUAACUUCGUGCCAGCAGCCGCGGUAAUACGAAGGGACCUAGCGUAGUUCGGAAUUACUGGGCUUAAAGAGUUCGUAGGUGGUUGAAAUAGUUGGUGGUGAAAUCCCAGAGCUUAACUCUGGAA
rnacentral:rRNA from 1 species